rnacentral:misc_RNA from 1 species
GAUGAAGAACGUAGCGAAAUGCGAUAAGUAAUGUGAAUUGCAGAAUUCAGUGAAUCAUCGAAUCUUUGAACGCACAUUGCGCCCGCCAGUAUUCUGGCGGGCAUGCCUGUCCGAGCGUCAUUUCAACCAUCAAGCCCCGGGCUUGUGUUGGGGACCUGCGUCCGACGCAGGCCCCGAAAACCAGUGGCGGGCUCGCUGUCCACACCGAGCGUAGUAGCUAACCUCGCUCCGGAGUGGCGCGGGCGCCUGCCGUAAAACCCCCCAAUUUUACAAGGUUGACCUCGGAUCAGGUAGGAAUACCCGCUGAACUUAAGCAUAUCAAUAAGCGGAGGC